rnacentral:lncRNA from 1 species
AAAAAAAAAACAAAAAAAAGAAAACAAAACCCAGUAAACAAGGGACAAGCCAAAGCUGCGCUGUCAAACGUGGGGCCAGGCUCUUUGUGGAGCAAAGUGUGGUGGACCUGGUCUGUCUGUCAAGGGAGCUGUGGGUGGUGCAGGAGGCACUGUGAUGGCUCCUUUGCCAGUACAGCAUUAGCACAGAGAAGGGAUGUGACCACUGGACCUGUGUCCCAGGCCUUUGGCAGCCUGCUCUGAUGAAAGCUGCUGUUUUAGGUUACAUUUUCAACCUGCUGUGGAAGAGCCAGGACUGCAUGGAAGACAGAGGGGCCUGGCAAGAUACAUUCAGAUUCAACGCCUUUCCUGGGGGCUCAUGCUAUAGCAAGCAUGUCUGGACUCAUCAGCUGGAAGCAACCGGGGAAGAGAAAUGUCUGCAAGUGUAAGUCGGUCACAGGAUGACCAUGAGUCACCGGCGUGACGUGGCCAUGAAAGAGGUAAAACAGUGAUCUUUGGAUGUAUCGGGGAGGUAUUUCCAGCAGAGAAUCAUGGAGACAUAGGAUCGUAGAGAAGCGGGGCUGGAAGGGACCUCCAGAGGUCAUGUAGUAGUCCAACCCCCUGCCCAAGGCAGGAUAACCCCUGUCCAAACCAUCCCAUGCAACUCCAGUGUCUAACCUAUUAGCAAAAUAACAGAGUCAAUUCUGACACAAUACAAAACACAACACCCCAACCUGUCACGGGGAAAGUGGGGGACCAUGGUGGCCAAUGUCCUGCUGUUACAAAGCUUUGUCAAAGUAUGCUCAAGAGAUCCCAGGUAGAGGGCCAUACCCUCCACUACAGAGGGAGCCUCCCCCCCAGUCUAUACCAACCUGACCGUGGGGUAAACUUCCUUCCUGUCCCCAUAUAUGAUGAUCAGCUUGACCCUGAGCACAGGGUGAAAUACAGAAAUGGAAAAUAGCAGAAACAUCCUGUCAGCCAAGUUCAAGAAAGAUAAAUUCAGACUGGAACGGGUGACCAGAAGGCCUAUGAGA